rnacentral:rRNA from 1 species
AUUGAACGCUGGCGGCAGGCCUAACACAUGCAAGUCGAGCGAGCGGCGGACGGGUGAGUAAUGUAUGGGGACUGCCCGAUAGAGGGGGAUAACUACUGGAAACGGUAGCUAAUACCGCAUACUAUCGGAUAACCCAUAUGGGAUUGGCUAGUAGGUGAGGUAAUGGCUCACCUAGGCGACGAUCCCUAGCUGGUCUGAGAGGAUGAUCAGCAACACUGGAACUGAGACACGGUCCAGACUCCCACGGGGGCAGCAGUGGGGAAUAUUGGACAAUGGGCGAAAGCCUGAUGCAGCUAUGCCGCGUGUGUGAAGAAGGCCGUCGUGUUGUAAAGUACGUUCAGUCGGGAUGCGUUACCUACAGAAUAAGCACCGGCUAACUUCGUGCCAGCAGCCGCGGUCAUGC